rfam:Tessaracoccus flavus strain RP1T, complete genome.
UAGCGGCCUCGUCCGGUGGCUCCCGGCCGGCGCCCUGACUUCACUUCCCCGAUGUCAGGUCCCCCGGAAGGGAACCUCCAGACGAGGACCACACACA